rnacentral:tRNA from 1 species
GCCGUGGUGGUUCAGUGGUAGAAUUCUUGCUUUCCACGUGGGAAACCUGGGUUGAUCCCCUGCUAAGGCA